UACGAAGGGGGCUAGCGUUGCUCGGAAUCACUGGGCGUAAAGGGUGCGUAGGCGGAUCUUUAAGUCAGGGGUGAAAUCCCGAGGCUCAACCUCGGAACUGCCUUUGAUACUGGGGAUCUCGAGUCCGGGAGAGGUGAGUGGAACUGCGAGUGUAGAGGUGAAAUUCGUAGAUAUUCGCAAGAACACCAGUGGCGAAGGCGGCUCACUGGCCCGGAACUGACGCUGAGGUGCGAAAGCGUGGGGAGCAAACAGG
rnacentral:rRNA from 1 species